GGGCGACGCAACGGAAUUGCGCGUUCCUAUGGAAACCAGAGGCGGGCUGGUAGCGGUGGAACGCACAGGAACUAAUCAAAUAUGUCCUGUGAAGCUGUGUGGAUCAAGGACAUCUCUCCACUUUUUCAGAAAAUAAAGGACAGUGAUGAAUUACAUGGAAGAUAAUUUGACAGUCUUUUUCUGCUAAAGGUCCCAAGAUAUUCCUCAAGAGUCUCCUGGCCACACUGCCAAACACAUCAUGUGCCUGUGCCUCAGAACCUCAGCUUUCACCUUACCUGGUUUUGAUAAUAUUCAACUUGAAAAGCGGGUUGCUGUUGGUGAUUUCCCAGGUUUCAUUAAUAUCUUCAAUAAUCUACAAUAUCUCAAUUAGUGGGGAGUAACAUGUGAAGCACUGGUCAAUUAUCUAAACACUGUCUCUGAAUUUGAACCUACAUAACUGUUUUUAGAUUCCUUUACCUAGUCGUUACCCUUCCCAAUUGUUCAGUUGAUAUUAUUCACUUAUUAAGACAAAUAUUGGCAACUGUAGGGGUAAAAUCUUGUUAUCAUGUGUAGGCUUUAAUGCUGAUUUGAAAGUUACAGUCAUUUUUAGGGCAUCUACUCAACACUUUUUCUUCUUGUAAUGUAAUGAUUUUUGACACUUUUCUUUGACAGACAGCCCAGAAUAUUUUCAGUUUAUCUAAUCUAUGUCUAAUAAAAAUCUACUUAUGCCUCUGUGGGUGGACACAGCCAAAGCAUGAAAUAGUGCUGAGCAUCAGCACUGCUUCUUCUGUUAAUAAAGUUUCUGGAGAAAAACUUGACUCAAACAGCAGGGGCUGAGUUCUUUUUCCUGUCUGUUUUGCAAUCUACUAAGCCAUUUUUAUUGCUACACUUUAAAUUUAGCCAAAAGGUUAAACAUUUAUUUAUCUCAACAUGUAUUAUAAGCAGUUUUUUUCACUGUGGGGCAUUCUACAUGAUUAUUAUUAAAUUUAAACUUUCUCAA